rnacentral:misc_RNA from 1 species
CCAUCACUGAUCCGAUUGCACCCCGUGCAGUUGGUCGACAUGGGCCUUCAGCACUGAUCGCCUCGAAUUGCUCGCGAUCGUCGUGGUAUACAGUGUGGCAGCGAUGCCGUCCAGUGUUGUCGACGAUCAACCCGUGC